rnacentral:rRNA from 2 species
UACGUAGGGGGCAAGCGUUGUCCGGAUUUAUUGGGCGUAAAGAGCGUGUAGGCGGCCAGACAGGUCCGUUGUGAAAACUCGAGGCUCAACCUCGAGACGCCGAUGGAAACCGUUUGGCUAGAGUCCGGAAGAGGAGAGUGGAAUUCCUGGUGUAGCGGUGAAAUGCGCAGAUAUCAGGAAGAACACCCGUGGCUAAGGCGGCUCUCUAGUACGGUACUGACGCUGAGACGCGAAAGCGUGGGGAGCGAACAGG